rnacentral:rRNA from 1 species
UACAGAGGUCUCAACCGUUGUUCGGAUUCAUUGGGCGUAAAGGGUGCGUAGGCGGUCGCGCAAGUCGGAUGUGAAAUCUUGGGGCUCAACCCCGAAACUGCAUUCGAUACUGCGUGGCUCGAGUACUGGAGAGGAGACUGGAAUUUACGGUGUAGCAGUGAAAUGCGUAGAUAUCGUAAGGAAGACCAGUGGCGAAGGCGAGUCUCUGGACAGUUACUGAGCUGAGGCGCGAAAGCCAGGGGAGCAAACGGG